ACAUUUUCCUGGCAGGGAUGAUACCAUGAUCAAUAAGGUGGGUUUCCCAGGGUGAGUCCUGUCCCUUGCACUCUGGGCAGGCUAACCACUGCAAAUUUCCCCAGUGUGUGAAACCUGACUACACAGUUUUGUGGUAAUGGGGGACUGCAUUCUAGCUUUCCUUCU
ensembl:snRNA U1 U1 spliceosomal RNA